UUUUUGUUUGACAGGGAUUUUGAAAGUCUCUUAGGGCCUAAGAUAGGCCGCCUAGUG
rnacentral:tRNA from 1 species